rnacentral:lncRNA from 1 species
UUUUUUUUUUUUUUUUUUUGUUUUUGGGGGCCAUUGCCUACAGAAGUUCCUGGGCUAGGGGUCGAAUCAGAGUUGCAGCUACCAACUUAUGCAAAGUCACAGCAACAUGGGAUCCGAGCCUCAUCAGGGACUGACACCGCAGCUCUCUGCAACGCCGGAUCCUUAACCAACAGAGCGAGGCCAGGGAUCGACCACAUCUUCAUGCAUGCUGGUAGAGCUCAUAACUGCUGAGCCAUGAUGGGAACUCCACGUUCAAGAAAUUUGAUCACAUCAAAAUUAGAAAAGUAAACUUCUAACCAUCAUGAUAGAGGAAAGGGGGAAAAAAAUAUUUGAAGUGCCUGAAACUGACAAAAGACUAGUAUUUAGAAUGUGCAAGGAAUGCAUACAAGGGAAAGACAAUAACCCUCACAAAAACGUGGGCAAAGAAUUUAAAUGAGGGAUUUAAAGGAGAAAUGCAAAGAGUUUACAAGUAUGUGAAGAAAUACUUAAAUUGGUGAUCAGAAAAUCCUCAAAGUAAAAUAAAAAUGAUACAUUUACACCUGUUCGACUACCAAAAAUUAGAAAGUUGGCUAAGCCGGGUAAUGAAGGCUGUUGAGAAGGAUGUCCCACAGCACUUAAGUGUGUGGGCACUGCCCUGCCAUUGUGGGGGACGCUCAGAUUAAGUGAUGUACCCCCUGCAUCCACCAUUUUACUCCUGAGGACAGAAACCAAAGAGGUCUAUAAGAAACAUUUUUAAAGAUGCUCAUCUCAGCACUCACCUUGCAGGUAAUCGGGUAUCCACAAACGGCAAGAGUGGACCAACACAAUGUGAUGGAUGUGUCCCACUGAGACUAAGAGUUAGAUCAACACAGGGAAAUAAACAGUGCAGGAAAGAAAAAACAGUAUAAAAUAGUAAGAAUUUCAUGUUAAGUAAACUCUCUAUACAUAGGACCCUAAAAGGAUACACAUUAAAUCCACUGGAAUGGUUUUUAUGGGAGAACAGCAGUGAAAAAUAGAGAUAACAAGAAAAAAUUACGUAAGGAGUUCCCGUCGUGGCACAGUGGUUAACGAAUCUGACUGGGAACCAUGAGGUUGCGGGUUCAGUCCCUGGCCUUGCUCAGUGGGUUAAGGAUCCGGCGUUGCCAUGAGCUGUGGUGUAGGUCGCAGACGUGGCUCGGAUCCCGUGUUGCUGUGGCUCUGGCGUAGGCCAGCGGCUAGAGCUCUGAUUAGACCCCUAGCCUGGGAACCUCCAUAUGCCACAGGAAGCGGCCCUAGAAAAGCCAAAAAGACAAAAAAAAAAAAAAAAAAGAAAGAAAGAAUUACAUAAAUAAGACAAGAAAGGACUUAAUACAUAGUUUGAUGAUGGUACUAUCCCAUCAAUGACAUCAGAGCUUCUACCUUGAGAUUCUAAAUUAAAAGGAAAAGCAAGCAAGCAAGCAAGCAACCAACAGUUGGUGACUCAGAGAACAAGAAUGAAGAGGAAGACCAGCAAAUACACUGGAAGUGAUGGCCAAGUCUGUGGUCAGGUGGUGGAUGUGCUGCCAAAGAAUGGAACUAGGAAGAGAGAGCAAGAGGGUUGAGGACAUGGGAGAAGUGGAGAAAACUACAGGAAAAGCAGUUCGGAACUUUUCCAAGUCAUUUGAAGGCAAAAAAACUCCUUGCUGCAAAAGCCAGCUAGAGAAAACAAAAUAAUUUCAGAUAAAUUUCACUAAAUAAUGUGAUGUAAAAUAGUAAAAUAAAAUCCAGUAGCAUAUUUGAAAUUGCACCAAAUCCAAGGAGAGUUCAUGCCAGGCAUUCCAGAUUUCAACUACAGAAGAACAAUAAGUCAUUACAUUAAAAUAUAGAGGGGGAAAGAAUCAUGUAAUCACAUUGUUAGAUGCCAAAUGAGCUUCUGUUAAAAUUAACAAUCAUUCAUACUGAAAAGAAUGAAAAUUUUAGACAAAAUAGGAAAAAAGGAAACAUCCUAAAGCUCAAAGUUAUAAAAGCAGAACUAGCAGCAAAGCUCAUAUUAAAUUUUGAAAUAUAAAAGGCAAUUCUAUAAAAUUACGAAAAUGCAGUAUCCAUCCAGAGAUUUUAAAUAAACAUGGGGGGGGAGAUAAAUGUAUUAUUAUCUAAAACAAUGUAAUUAUUUUCCUAGAAAUGCAAGUAAAAAUAUUAAAACUUGCUAAGCGUUGAAAACGUGACUAGAUAUAAAAUAUACUAAAAAACAGUCGAUUUCCUUUAUACCAGCCAUAAGUAGUUGUAAAGUCCAUUUAUAAGGAAAACCCAAUCAAAACAUCAAAAACUGUAGCAUGUCUGGGAAUUAAUUUAAUAAGAAAUACAAACCACAUGAAUAAAACUAUAAAGAGUUACAAGAAGACAUUAAGAACAGCCCUGAGAGAUAGAUUUGCUCUGAUCAAAGCCUCCUCCCACAAGGAUUUGGAUUCCUCCCUCUUCUCACUGUACUGAAGAUCUUCCUGGUCAGUGGAUGUCAUCAAGUUACUCUCUGUACUGGGUCAGUCUUCUCAUCCUACACAACACACUAUAGCAUCACCCAUGUUUUUAAAAGCAAAAUAAGAAUUCCAUUACCACACCAAACCUCACGGAAAAAUAUCUCCAAGGGAUUGCCUAUGGUUAACAGAGUCAACUCUCAUUAUUCACAGAUCCCAUGAAU